GACGAACGCUGGCGGCGUGCUUAACACAUGCAAGUCGAACGGAAAGGCCCUGCUUUUGUGGGGUGCUCGAGUGGCGAACGGGUGAGUAACACGUGAGUAACCUGCCCUUGACUUUGGGAUAACUUCAGGAAACUGGGGCUAAUACCGGAUAGGAGCCCCUGCUGCAUGGUGGGGGUUGGAAAGUUUCGGCGGUUGGGGCUGGACUCGCGGCUUAUCAGCUUGUUGGUGGGGUAGUGGCUUACCAAGGCUUUGACGGGUAGCCGGCCUGAGAGGGUGACCGGCCACAUUGGGACUGAGAUACGGCCCAGACUCCUACGGGAGGCAGCAGUGGGGAAUAUUGCACAAUGGGCGGAAGCCUGAUGCAGCAACGCCGCGUGCGGGAUGACGGCCUUCGGGUUGUAAACCGCUUUCGCCUGUGACGAAGCGUGAGUGACGGUAAUGGGUAAAGAAGCACCGGCUAACUACGUG
rnacentral:rRNA from 1 species